GACGAACGCUGGCGGCGUGCUUAACACAUGCAAGUCGAACGAGACGAUUGAAAGCUUGCUUUCGAAAGUCGAGUGGCAAACGGGUGAGUAACGCGUAGACAACCUGCCUUUGAGAUGGGGACAACAGUUCGAAAGGACUGCUAAUACCGAAUGUUGUAUAUUUUCCACAUGGAAGAUAUAUUAAAGAUGGCCUCUAUUUAUAAGCUAUCGCUCAAAGAUGGGUCUGCGUCUGAUUAGCUGGUUGGUGGGGUAACGGCCUACCAAGGCGACGAUGAGUAGCCGGUCUGAGAGGAUGAACGGCAACAUGGGGACUGAGACACGGCCCAGACUCCUACGGGAGGCAGCAGUGGGGAAUCUUCCACAAUGGACGAAAGUCUGAUGGAGCAACGCCGCGUGAGUGAAGAAGGGUUUCGGCUCGUAAAGCUCUGUUGUCGGGGACGAAUGUGCAGUAUUUGAAUAAAGUACUGCAAUGACGGUAUCUGACGAGGAAGCCACGGCUAACUACGUGCCAGCCGCCGCCGCGG
rnacentral:rRNA from 1 species